CCUACGGGAGGCAGCAGUGGGGAAUAUUGGACAAUGGGGGCAACCCUGAUCCAGCCAUGCCGCGUGUGUGAAGAAGGCCCUCGGGUUGUAAAGCACUUUCAGUGAGGAAGAACGCCUGGUGGUUAAUACCCAUCAGGAAAGACAUCACUCACAGAAGAAGCACCGGCUAACUCCGUGCCAGCAGCCGCGGUAAUACGGAGGGUGCGAGCGUUAAUCGGAAUUACUGGGCGUAAAGCGCGCGUAGGUGGCUUGAUAAGCCGGUUGUGAAAGCCCCGGGCACAACCUGGGAACGGCAUCCGGAACUGUCAAGCUAGAGUGCAGGAGAGGAAGGUAGAAUUCCCGGUGUAGCGGUGAAAUGCGUAGAGAUCGGGAGGAAUACCAGUGGCGAAGGCGGCCUUCUGGACUGACACUGACACUGAGGUGCGAAAGCGUGGGUAGCAAACAGGAUUAGAUACCCUGGUAGUC
rnacentral:rRNA from 1 species